CAUUUGUGAAUGAUCUGAAUAGUUCUACUGGACAUUUAAAGUUUAAGCUUUCAUUCAGUGAGGAAGAAAUAUGGGUGGCAUUCUUUCAUUGCCUGAGGCCAUGCCGUGAUUGGAUGAAGCUGGAUUAGUUAUUGUUGACGUGUGAAGAGAGGAUCUCCGUGUGGGGGAAACUGACAUGGCUGUGCAAAGAACAAAGCCAUUUCAGUCUAUUGGAUGUGACAGGAAAAACUGGUUAAACACGAAAAACGAAGAUGCAGGUGGUUUCACAGACCUUACA